UGUGUUCACAAAAUGAAUUUUGGUUGUCAGGUGGCUGCUUGCUGCCCAAUUGUUUGCCUCGCCUUUUUUUUUUAAAGUUUGUGUUCACAAAAUGAAUUUUGGUUAUCUGGUGUCUGCUUGCUGCCCAAUUUUUUGCCUCAUCUUUU